rnacentral:lncRNA from 1 species
CAUAAGUGCAAUAAUGCAUGAUGCAUGUGCACUAAUAGUGUAAUCUAGGCAGUUGUAGAUUUUCAAAUGUAGCUCAAUAUGACUAAAAUAUUGGACAAUCUUGUGCCAAAGGAUUAAUUACAAGUGAAAAACCUGUAAUAAAUAUAUGAAUAUAUAAAAAAUCAUGUUUAUCAUAUAAACAGAGAAAUAUUUGAAACCCUAUCGAUGAUGAGAACCCACGUAUGGAAAGAUUUCUUUUUGUUCCGUUAGAAAAUACGUAACAUCAAUCGUUAAGCUUGUAACGAAAGUGAAAAGAGACCGUGUAUGUGUAAAUGUGUGUCACAGUCAAUGAUCGUAUCACGUCUGAUGUUACAAAGAAAGAGACAUCAAAAUAUAUACCCAAUAGAAUACAAAGAGAGUAUGUGUAUAUACACUGUAUUUCUUAAAUAUACAUUAAAAACACUUGAAGGGAUAAAUCUGCACAGUAAACGAAAUAAAAAGAUGCCAUACGAACAGAUGUCCGAUAUACAUCAGUUUUCGAGUAAUGGAUGAUCAAAGAAAAUGUUCCAAGUGUAUGUUUCUUGACUCAACCAUUCUUAGAAAUGUAUUCAAAUAUUCUACAAUCUGGAAUUCCACGUUCCGGGAAGUUUUCUUGAGUAUAAUCUACGUGCUUUCAGUUCAAUCCUGUAUGCAGAACUAUACGUGAAGUGCAUGGCUGGUCAUUUCCGCUGUGCAGAUACAUCCUUUUGAAGUACUGACGUUUACGAAACAACCUGUAUACAAAAAGAUUAAGUUAGAUAAUUCCGA